rnacentral:rRNA from 1 species
UACGAAGGGGGCUAGCGUUGCUCGGAAUCACUGGGCGUAAAGGGUGCGUAGGCGGGUCUUUAAGUCAGGGGUGAAAUCCUGGAGCUCAACUCCAGAACUGCCUUUGAUACUGAGGAUCUUGAGUUCGGGAGAGGUGAGUGGAACUGCGAGUUUAGAGGUGAAAUUCGUAGAUAUUCGCAAGAACACCAGUGGCGAAGGCGGCUCACUGGCCCGAUACUGACGCUGAGGCACGAAAGCGUGGGGAGCAAACAGG